UGAAAUCCAGGCCCUACAUAAGGCUGUGGAAGAGUUACUAUGGACUUCUAUGGGGUCAUCAUUUGACUCCAAAAGGAUAUGGAUGUUGUGGAAGAAUCCUGGCUGGAAAGCAAUGCCCCAUGGCACUGCCAAAGCUCAAUGUGCACCUGGGGGUCGAGAAAACAUCAAGGAAGGUUGGUCUCUGCUGUUUUCAAAUCAGCCAGGAAGAGCCCACUGUAUCUCCAGCUGAGAACUCAGAGUGGAGUUUUCAAGCAUCUUUUGCCACCUCUGUGGACUCUGCCCAAAAAGAUUGAUCCCUCAGAAAGUCUGAUGGUUUCGACUUCUAGACAAGUUAGCACUCUUGGAGAACACACUGUAACUUCUGUAUGGAUGAGAUUGACUGGGACUUAUGGAAUGGCAUCAUCUCUCUUAGCUCUAAACUGA
rnacentral:lncRNA from 1 species